AAUGUGUUUUCAUUUUAAGUAAAUACCUGUAAAUGGCGCAUCAUACACGUGAGGUUAUCUGACGGAGAGACGCAAAGCAGUUUAAAGCAGAGUCCUGCAUGGGUCCUGUUAGAUAAACCUGCAUCCGCAGUACAUAACAGAA